GGAUUAGGCAUGCAAUCGAACGGUAGGAUACUUUCGGGUAUCUGAGAGUGGCGAACGGGUGAGUAACACGUAGGUGAUCUACCCUCAAAUCGGGGACAACCCAGGGAAACUUGGGCUAAUACCGGAUGCGUGCGGCACCUACAUCUUCCGAUAUUUUUGGUCGAGAGGCCAGGGAUGAUUUGGGAGAUUUAGGUGCCGCAUAAAAGGUGGCUGGCAACAGCUGUUGUUUGAGGAUGAGCCUGCGCCCUAUUAGUUAGUUGGUGAGGUAAUGGCUUACCAAGGCGAUGAUAGGUAGGCGGCCUUAACGGGUGGUCGCCCACACUGGGAUUGAGAUACGGCCCAGACUCCUACGGGAGGCAGCAGUCGAGAAUAGUCUACAAUGGUCGAAAGACUGAUAGUGCGACGCCGCGUGAACGAAGAAGCCCUUCGGGGUGUAAAGUUCUUUUAUAUGUGAGCAAUGGGUUCUAUAUGAAUAGUAUGGGAUCAGAGAUAUUAGCAUAUGAAUAAGCAACGGCUAACUCCGUGCCAGCAGCCGCGGUAAUA
rnacentral:rRNA from 1 species